CAGAGACAAAGGAAAACAGCAUGGCUUUGGAGGAGUGGGAGCCAGCUUCCCCGUGGGCUUUGAAGAUGCAAACUCCAAUCCUAUCAGUACGGGUUGGUUUCUGCCUGCUCCCGGUGCUUUAAAAGUAUGACUGGGGAGAAGGAAGCGCCUGAGAGUGGCUGUCAUGCCGUGGUCCUGCUGGCUGCUGGCUGCUGCUCUUUGCCAUGGCAACAGUUGUGUUGUCUUUAUUGCUUUCAACCUUUUCACAUUCUUGCUGUGCUUCCUCUUGAUUUGCUGACACAGGCUGUCACUUAGCAGUAAUAAAGCUGUCAAUGGUAUCAGCGACCAAUCUUUUAAUAUGGUAUCAGAAAGUCUGACAAGAGCAUAGGGGUGCCGGAUUUCCAAUGACAAGUUAAUUUAUUCAAAGCACUCUGAACAUUAUUUCCAUUCCUAUGGCACGCAAAUGAUGCCCAGCAAGGCUGGUGUCUGCUGGAUGGGAUGCAGACGGCGGAAGAAUUUGGCACGCGGUGAUCCUGUAGGUAUUCCAUGGGCUGAAAGCAGAAUUAACUCACUAGUGCGAGGGGAAGAUGCAGAUCCAUGCCCUUGUAUCCUCUCAGAGAUCUCCCCUAUUGCCAGAGGAAAAGCUCCAGCUGUAGUGCAGAGGCCUGGCAUCACUUUACCUCUUGGAGCACAUUAGAUUGUGUGAGAGGAUCAGCAUUGCUUCUGGAUACUAGAUGUAACCUUUUCAUCUCAGCACAGCAAAGCCAAGGAAUCGGGAUACGAGACAGCUCCUGAAGCUAGGUGCUCACCCCGGGUAUCUGCUAGUCAACUCAGCCUUGAAUAUCUCCCCUUCAGCUUGUUCUGGGAUCUGUAGCAUUUCCCUUUCCUUUCUCAUUGACAGAAGCCUUCAGGAAGAACAGCUAGUGACAUUUCUUCACUACUAUGCCAUUUUGUGUUAGGGCGUUGCACUAGAGUAGCCACAGUUAUUUCAGCUACAAGAGUUCAUAAUGGAGCGUAACUGCUUCUUGGCAGUAUCACCAACCAGUGUCAGCAGUUUAUACCCCAUCCAUAACAAUGAUUCACUGGAAAUUACUGAAAUAACUGUAAUGAGUUAGCCAUAAACUUUGUCAUUAGACAAGAUGGAUAUGCAAGGACGCUAACCCCAGAAGAAGCACCUUAAUGAUCGCAGAAGUCAGUCUCUCCAACACAAAUGACAGCAAUAUCUGAUCAAGCAAAAACAGUGAAAUACUUUGGAAGUCUCCUCAAGAUGAGCCUGGUUCCAAACCCAGCUGCCCACAGGCUUCUCAACAGAUUUCAACUGGGAUGGAAUGUUACAAUUUUUAAAUUUUUUUUACUCUUUUAAACUUAUCUUCAUUAUUCUUUAGUUAUUUUGCCAAUUAUGCUUAUUUGUCUUCUAAUUUCUCCCCCUUCUCUUACUACAUGAUCUUACAUUGUAUUAUUACAGAAUUUCUCCAGAGUGUGGAGCUUAUGAUAGAAAAUAAAAUGGAGGCAUUAGCCUUUUUCCC
ensembl:lncRNA